rnacentral:tRNA from 1 species
GGCCGCGUAGCGCAAUGGACAACGCGUCUGUCUACGGAGCAGAAGGUUGCAGGUUCGAGUCAUGUCAUGGUCG